rnacentral:rRNA from 1 species
AUUGAACGCUGGCGGAAUGCUUUACACAUGCAAGUCGAACGGCAGCACGGACUUCGGUCUGGUGGCGAGUGGCGAACGGGUGAGUAACAUAUCGGAACGUAUCCAAUAAUGGGGGAUAACGAGUCGAAAGAUUCGCUAAUACCGCAUACGCCCUACGGGGGAAAGCUGGGGACCUUCGGGCCUGGCGUUAAUGGAGCGGCCGAUAUCUGAUUAGCUAGUUGGUGAGGUAAAGGCUCACCAAGGCGACGAUCAGUAGCUGGUCUGAGAGGACGACCAGCCACACUGGAACUGAGACACGGUCCAGAAUCCGACGGGAGGCAGCAGUGUGGAAUUUUGGACAAUGGGCGCAAGCCUGAUCCAGCCAUUCCGCGUGAGUGAAGAAGGCCUUCGGGUUGUAAAGCUCUUUCGCAAGGGAAGAAAACUUAGCCACUAACAUUGGUUGAGGUUGACGGUACCUUGAUAAGAAGCACCGGCUAACUACGUGCCAGCAGCCGCCGUAA